rnacentral:tmRNA from 1 species
GGGGUGUUCCGGUUUCGACUGGGAAGAUGAAACUUGAGUUGCAGGUGGAGUACCGACCUCCUGAUUCGGUAAAACUUAUAACUGCCGAAAAUAACGACAGUUUCGAUUACGCCUUAGCUGCAUAAUCGCGGAACCCGCAUUGCGUUGCUCCGAGCGGUGCGGUGNUUCCGACGCGAUAGGAGCUCAGCCUUUUGUCGGGCACGAACGAUAAAAGGGACUUUAGCCGUGAUACGGNAAUCGACGCUUGCGGUGCUGACACCGGUUCCCGACAAUUACUCGCACCGAUNAAACCUGUAGACGCUCCUGAUUCCCUUUUCAGGACGGGGGUUCAAUUCCCCCAUCUCCAAAA